UACCUUGAAUAUAGUUUGUCUCUUGAGCGC
rnacentral:piRNA from 1 species